UCUCCACUGUACUUUAUUCACUCGUCUUGAUACCUUUUUCCUUAACAGCAAUUGCUACAAUGUGCUGCUCCAAAUGGUCCAGCACUAAGUAAAAACUUCACCUGGUUUGUUUCAUACAGGAGGAAAAGGAAAACAGAAAUUUAGCGUUCUGUUAAAAGCACGUGUCUAACAAAACUAUUCCUAAAGGUUGGAAAUUCCACUUUACAAUGGCGGUAGCUCUAUUUCAUUGCAUCCUCCAGGCAAUGUACAGCGGGUAAGACUGAGGCGUUCCGCUUUCAGGAAUUAAGAGUCCAACGGCGGCCAGAUGUGGGCAACAAACUGCAGGUCAGGGUCAGACUGCAACAUGGGAAACGUGCACACGCGCAUGAAACCGGGUGUCUCCUAGGCUCAUCGGGUCUAACAUCCUUUCAUUUUUUUUUUGAGACGGAAACUCGCUCUGUCGCCCAGGCUGGAAUGCAGUGGCGCGAUCUCAGCUCACCAUAACUUCUGCCUCCCGGGCUCAAGAGAUUCUCCCACCUCAACCUCCCGAGUAGCCGGGACUACAGGCGUUCACCACCACACCAGGCUAAUUUUUGUAUUUUUAGUAGAGACGGGGUUUCGCCAUGUUGGCCAGGCUGGUCUCCAACUCCUAACCUCAAGUGAUCCGCCCGCCUCGGCCUUCCAAAGUGCUGGGAUCACAGACGUGAGCCACCGCGUUCGGCCGCUUUUUCUAAUAUUGUCUAAAAUAAGUAUCCUAAACAGGAAAUACCAAAAUAAUCGCCCUCGCUUUCGUGACCUACACCGGUAAGCGUCAGCAUCUUUCGCUAUGCGAGAAUCUUUUGGCUCUCGUAUGUGCGCAUGCGUCUGGAUCCGGAGGCAGGUGACCCGCUCAGACGUGGACCAUGGGCGGGGGAGGGGGGAAAGGAGCCGCGGAGCGGGUGGUAGACAGAACAGGUGGAGCCGCGGCGGGGCUAGGCGGGGCGGCGAGUGAAACAGCGUAGGCUCCGCCUCUCGCGGUGCUUCCCCCGGAAUAGCGUCAUCAGUUCUAUAAGAGAGCGUGUGCCGAAAGCCUCGGCCUUUCACAUUCGGGAAGCGUCGGGAUUAGGUGAAAGUACGCAGUUGUCUUUCGUAAGUUAAAAUGAUAAUUGAGCCGAAACUUACUGCCUUACCUAAAAGGCAGCGCAGUCAGGAUAUUGGUAGGUCGGGGGCGGCUUUGGAAACCCUUAAGUUUACAAGCAUGCGCGGACUUGAGUGCUCAUUAGGUCGCCGGACGGCCACAUGCAGCCCUGGACCCUGAACCCCGGCGUGCGUGGGCCGUGGGCCCUCGGGGAGAGGUUCCGUGCAGUCGGGGACUCCGGGGAAGCCUGUUUCGCCGUCUGUGUCAUGUGGCCAUCUUGAGUCUACUCUGUCGCUCUUGUGCCAUAGCACCCCGAGAACCGUCAGUUUGAGCCAGAUGGAAGCUGAGCUGAACAUAUUACGAUGGAUGAUGGAAACAUAAGACUGUCAAGAAAUCCAAAGUGGUAAUGGGCGAAGUUUAUUCAGCAUCCGGCAAUGGACUUAUCGUAGCUGGGGAAACAGGUGUUCCGAAUAAUAUCCUGGAAGUUAUCAGGACACCUAUUUUAAAUAUAAGCCUGAAUUUUUUAAAGUAAUAUUUAAGGUGGUCCGUGAUAAUUAAAUAAAAUGCUUAAUUCAUGUGGCUA